GAUGAACGCUGGCGGCGUGCCUAACACAUGCAAGUCGAGCGAACAGACGAGGAGCUCGCUCCUCUGACGUUAGCGGCGGACGGGUGAGUAACACGUGGAUAACCUACCUAUAAGACUGGGGUAACUACGGGGAACCGGAUCUAAUACCGGAUAAUAUAUUGAACGGGAUGGUUCAAUAGUGAAAGAGGGUUUUGCUGUCACUAAUAGAUGGUUCCGCGCCGCAUUAGCUAGUUGGUAAGGUAACGGCUUACCAAGGCGACGAUGCGUAGCUGACCUGAGAGGAUGAUCAGCCACACUGGAACUGAGACACGGUCCAGACUCCUACGGGAGGCAGCAGUGGGGAAUCUUGGGCAAUGGGCGAAAGCCUGACCGAGCAACGCCGCGUGAGUGAAGAAGGUCUUCGGAUCGUAAAGCUCUGUUAUUAGGGAAGAACAGAUGUAUAAGUAACUAUGGACGUCUUGACGGUACCUAAACAAAAAGCCACGGCUAACUUCGUG
rnacentral:rRNA from 1 species